GACGAACGCUGGCGGCGUGCUUAACACAUGCAAGUCGAACGCUGAAGACCUGGCUUUUGUUGGGUUGGAUGAGUGGCGAACGGGUGAGUAACACGUGAGUAACCUGCCCUCUUCUUUGGGAUAACGCCCGGAAACGGGUGCUAAUACUGGAUAUUCACUGAUCUUCGCAUGGGGGUUGGUGGAAAGGUUUGUUCUGGUGGGGGAUGGGCUCGCGGCCUAUCAGCUUGUUGGUGGGGUGAUGGCCUACCAAGGCUUUGACGGGUAGCCGGCCUGAGAGGGUGACCGGUCACAUUGGGACUGAGAUACGGCCCAGACUCCUACGGGAGGCAGCAGUGGGGAAUAUUGCACAAUGGGCGAAAGCCUGAUGCAGCGACGCCGCGUGAGGGAUGGUGGCCUUCGGGUUGUAAACCUCUUUCGCUCAUGGUCAAGCCGCAACUGUGGGUUGUGGUGAGGGUAGUGGGUAAAGAAGCGCCGGCUAACUACGUG
rnacentral:rRNA from 1 species